UGGCUUAAUUUGACUCAACGCGGGAAAACUCACCAGGUCCAGACAUGGUUAGGAUUGACAGACUGAAUCUCUUUCGUGAUUCUAUGGGUGGUGGUGCAUGGCCGUUCUUAGUUAGUGGAGUGAUCUGUCUGGUUAAUUCCGAUAACGAACGAGAUCCCGGCCAUUUAACUAGCUUUCAGAACUUCGGUUCUGUUGUGCUUCUUAGAGGGACCAUGUAGAAUUAAUACUACAAGGAAGUGGGGCUAUAACAGGUCUGUGAUGCCC
rnacentral:rRNA from 1 species